CCUUGACAUACUAAGAACUUUCCAGAGAUGGAUUGGUGCCUUCGGGAACUUAGAUACAGGUGCUGCAUGGCUGUCGUCAGCUCGUGUCGUGAGAUGUUGGGUUAAGUCCCGNAACGAGCGCAACCCUUUUCCUUAUUUGCCAGCGGGUAAUGCCGGGAACUUUAAGGAUACUGCCAGUGACAAACUGGAGGAAGGCGGGGACGACGUCAAGUCAUCAUGGCCCUUACGGCCAGGGCUACACACGUGCUACAAUGGUCGGUACAAAGGAUUGCUACCUCGCGAGAGGAUGCUAAUCUCAAAAAGCCGAUCGUAGUCCGGAUCGCAGUCUGCAACUCGACUGCGUGAAGUCGGAAUCGCUAGUAAUCGCGGAUCAGAAUGCCGCGGUGAAUACGUUCCCGGGCCUUGUACACACCGCCCGUCACACCAUGGGAGUUUGUUGCACCAGAAGUAGGUAGUCUAACCGCAAGGAGGACGCUUACCACGGUGUGGCCGAUGACUGGGGUGAAGUCGUAACAAGGUAGGCGUAGAUGA
rnacentral:rRNA from 1 species